rnacentral:lncRNA from 1 species
UCAGGUUAUCAUUGCUAGAUGGUUACAUCAAUUGGUAUAGAAAGUUGUUCCUAUGCUACCAGCUUAGGUUCGAAUCUAUGGGUCACAUGCAUUAGAAGAUUUGGUUAGAUCGGAUGGCUAAAGAGUCUAAAUAGAUUGUGACUCUGGUGAAGAGUCCUACUCCGACUAGGACUCUAGGGGAAAGUCUCACUGGGACUAAAACUCUACUAUUUUUAGAGAAUUAAUUAGUACUUAGAUUAUUAAUUGACU